rfam:Ixodes scapularis strain Wikel colony gcontig_1107729063170, whole genome shotgun sequence.
UCCUGGUUAGCUCAACUGGUAGAACGCCUCACUGGAAACGGGGAGGUCCCUGGUUUUAUCCCAGGACCAGGUG